CCUACGGGUGGCAGCAGUCGAGAAUCAUUCACAAUGGGGGAAACCCUGAUGGUGCGACGCCGCGUGGGGGAAUGAAGGUCUUCGGAUUGUAAACCCCUGUCAUGUGGGAGCAAAUUAAAAAGAUAGUACCACAAGAGGAAGAGACGGCUAACUCUGUGCCAGCAGCUGCGGUAAUACAGAGGUCUCAAGCGUUGUUCGGAAACACUGGGCGGAAAGCGUGCGUAGGCUGUUUCGUAAGUCGUGUGUGAAAGGCGCGGGCUCAACCCGCGGACUGCACAUAAUACUGCGAGACUAGAGUAAUGGAGGGGGAACCGGAAUUCUCGGUGUAGCAGUGAAAUGCGUAGAUAGCGAGAGGAACACUCGUGGCGAAGGCGGGUUCCUGGACAUUAACUGACGCUGAGGCACGAAGGCCAGGGGAGCGAAAGGGAUUAGAUACCCUUGUAGUC
rnacentral:rRNA from 1 species